ACGUAUCCAACCUGCCGUCUACUCUUGGACAGCCUUCUGAAAGGAAGAUUAAUACAAGAUGGCAUCAUGAGUCCGCAUGUUCACAUGAUUAAAGGUAUUCCGGUAGACGAUGGGGAUGCGUUCCAUUAGAUAGUAGGCGGGGUAACGGCCCACCUAGUCUUCGAUGGAUAGGGGUUCUGAGAGGAAGGUCCCCCACAUUGGAACUGAGACACGGUCCAAACUCCUACGGGAGGCAGCAUG
rnacentral:rRNA from 1 species